GGAUCUCGGCCGGCGGAGGCACCCCCGUGUAACUGCUCCCAAGGCAACGUGUCUGGGGAGGCGGGCGCAAACAGGCGCAGCUGAUCGUUACGUGAAUGAAGCAGAUCUGAAACAGGGAGAAGACGCAGCCAGUGACUCACGAAGGCUCUCAUUUGCUGCUUCCAAACUGUUCUGGUGAGAGGCCAGAUGAGGAUGUGGAGCCUGAAGCGAAUGAGUCAUAACCCCUCACAGAAAAACAUCUGGAAGACUUUAACACCUGUCUUCACGUACAGAUGUCCAGCUGUUCCAACCUCCCUCUCUGCCCCAGGCAGACACUACAAACAAGGAGAUUCUCAUUUCAAUAUCCAAGAAGCUUUUCUUCAUUUCAACAUACUAAGCUGAUCUAAUUCUGUGAUCACUGGAACUUGAUAAUCUUUUUACAAUUGAGGAUUCAAAAGAAGCUUUUGAUUGAAGUUAUAGUUAGAAUAUUUUGAAGUCCAGAGCAAAAUCACAAAACUAAGAAACUAGUCAAUGAGGGGAAGAUAUAAGGAGACCAACAGAAACCUAGGAUAUACAGUUAAA